rnacentral:rRNA from 1 species
UACGAAGGGGGCUAGCGUUGUUCGGAAUCACUGGGCGUAAAGGGCGCGUAGGCGGCCGAUCAAGUCGGGGGUGAAAGCCUGUGGCUCAACCACAGAAUUGCCUUCGAUACUGUUUGGCUUGAGACCGGAAGAGGUUAGUGGAACUGCGAGUGUAGAGGUGAAAUUCGUAGAUAUUCGCAAGGACACCAGUGGCGAAGGCGGCUGACUGGUCCGGUUCUGACGCUGAGGCGCGAAAGCGUGGGGAGCGAACAGG